AUUGAACGCUGGCGGCAUGCCUUACACAUGCAAGUCGAACGGCAGCGCGGACUUCGGUCUGGCGGCGAGUGGCGAACGGGUGAGUAAAGCAUCGGAACGUACCCGGAAGUGGGGGAUAACGUAGCGAAAGUUACGCUAAUACCGCAUAUUCUGUGAGCAGGAAAGAGGGGGAUCGCAAGACCUCUUGCUUUCGGAGCGGCCGAUGUCAGAUUAGCUAGUUGGUGAGGUAAAGGCUCACCAAGGCGACGAUCUGUAGCGGGUCUGAGAGGAUGAUCCGCCACACUGGAACUGAGACACGGUCCAGACUCCUACGGGAGGCAGCAGUGGGGAAUUUUGGACAAUGGGGGCAACCCUGAUCCAGCCAUGCCGCGUGAGUGAAGAAGGCCUUCGGGUUGUAAAGCUCUUUCGGCCGGGAAGAAAUCGUAUGGGUUAAUACCCUGUGCGGAUGACGGUACCGGCAUAAGAAGCACCGGCUAACUACGUGCCAGCCGCCGCAGUAAAAC
rnacentral:rRNA from 1 species